GUAAAGCACUUUCAGUUGUGAGGAAGGUGGUGUCGUUAAUAGCGGCAUCAUUUGACGUUAGCAACAGAAGAAAGCACCGGCUAACUCCGUGCCAGCAGCCGCGGUAAUACGGAGGGUGCGAGCGUUAAUCGGAAUUACUGGGCGUAAAGCGCAUGCAGGUGGUUGUUAAGUCAGAUGUGAAAGACCCGGGGCGUCAACCUCGGAACUGCAUUUGAAACUGGCAGACUAGAGUACUGUAGAGGGGGGUAGGAAUUUCAGGUGUAGCGGUGAAAUGCGUAGAGAUCUGAAGGAAUACCGGUGGCGAAGGCGGCCCCCUCGGACAGAUACUGACACUCAGAUGCGAAAGCGUGGGGAGCAAACAGGAUUAGAUACCCUGGUAG
rnacentral:rRNA from 1 species